rnacentral:rRNA from 1 species
GAUGAACGCUGGCGGCGUGCCUAAUACAUGCAAGUCGAGCGAACAGACGAGGAGCUUGCUCCUCUGACGUUAGCGGCGGACGGGUGAGUAACACGUGGAUAACCUACCUAUAAGACUGGGAUAACUUCGGGAAACCGGAGCUAAUACCGGAUAAUAUAUUGAACCGCAUGGUUCAAUAGUGAAAGACGGUUUUGCUGUCACUUAUAGAUGGAUCCGCGCCGCAUUAGCUAGUUGGUAAGGUAACGGCUUACCAAGGCAACGAUGCGUAGCCGACCUGAGAGGGGGAUCGGCCCCACGGGAACUGAAACACGGCCCAGGCCCCCAGGGGAGGCAGAAGUAGGGAAUUUGCCCAAAUGGGGGAAAGCCUGACGGAGCAACGCCGCGGGGGGGAAGAAGGUCUUCGGAUCGUAAAACUCUGUUAUUGGGGAAAAAAAAAUGUGAAAGUAACUAUGCCCGUCUUGACGGUACCUAACCAGAAAGCCACGGCUAACUACGU